GCGGGAUCCCAGGAAGCGCUGCGGCCGCGGCUGGUGCUCUUCGGCGACUCCAUCACCGAGUGGUCCUUCCGCCCCGGCGGCUGGGGAGCCGCCCUCGCCGACACCUACUCCCGCAAGGCUGAUGUUGUUGUCAGAGGCUAUAGCGGGUACAACACAAGAUGGGCUCUGUUCUUGAUGCGGCGCGUCUUUUCCCUGGAUGGCUUACCGCCCGUCGCGACCACUGUAUUCUUCGGUGCUAAUGAUGCGGCGCUUCUAGGACGGUCAUGCGAGCGAAACCAUGUUCCAGUUGUGGAGUUUAAAGAGAACCUCAGAGCAAUUGUUAAUCAUCUCAAGGUUUGUUCCAAGUCCAUGGUGAUUUUACUUAUCACCCCACCUCCUGUUGAUAAAGACGGAAGAGAAAGAUUUGCACGAUCACUUUAUGGAUAUAAUCCAAGUUGGCUUCCAGAAAGGACAAAUGAAAUGGCUGGUGUCUAUGCAGGUAAAUGCAUAGAACUAGCCAAAGAAAUGGGUGUACACUGUGUUGACAUUUGGUCAAAAAUGCAAGCAGUUGAAGGUUGGCAGAAACUAUACUUGAGUGAUGGACUGCAUCUGACGCCGGAAGGAAACGCUCUGGUCCACAAGGAGGUCGUCGGAACCUUGAGAGGUGCUCGUCUGAGAGCUGAAGUUAUGCCGCUUGACUUCCCUCAUCAUUCCAAAAUUGAUGCAAUUCACCAGGAAAGGUCCUUCCAGUGA
rnacentral:rRNA from 1 species